rnacentral:rRNA from 1 species
CAGUCGCGGUAAUACAGAGGGUGCAAGCGUUAAUCGGAAUUACUGGGCGUAAAGCGCGCGUAGGUGGUUUGUUAAGUUGGAUGUGAAAUCCCCGGGCUCAACCUGGGAACUGCAUCCAAAACUGGCAAGCUAGAGUAUGGUAGAGGGUGGUGGAAUUUCCUGUGUAGCGGUGAAAUGCGUAGAUAUAGGAAGGAACACCAGUGGCGAAGGCGACCACCUGGACUGAUACUGACACUGAGGUGCGAAAGCGUGGGGAGCAAACAGGAUUAGAUACCCCUGUAGUCCCUGUCUCUUAUACACA